GUGUCUUUUAUGAAUAAUCAAAAGCAGCAAAAGCCAACGCUAUCAGGCCAGCAUUUUAAAACCAGAAAAAGAGAUGAAAAGGAGAGGUUUGACCCUACUCAAUUUCAAGACUGUAUUAUUCAAGGCUUAACUGAAACUGGUACUGAUUUGGAAGCAGUAGCUAAGUUUCUUGAUGCUUCUGGAGCAAAACUUGACUACCACCGCUAUGCAGAAACACUCUUUGACAUUCUGGCGGCUGGUGGAAUGCUGGCUCCAGGUGGUACACUGGCAGAUGACAUGAUGCAUACAGAUGUCUGUGUGUUUGCAGCACAAGAAGACCUAGAGACCAUGCAAGCAUUUGCUCAGGUUUUUAACAAGUUAAUCAGGCGCUACAAAUACUUGGAGAAAGGUUUUGAAGAUGAAGUAAAAAAGCUAUUGCUGUUCUUAAAGGGUUUCUCAGAGUCAGAGAGGCACAAGCUGGCUAUGUUGACGGGUGUUCUUCUGGCUAAUGGAACACUUAAUGCAUCCAUUCUUAAUAGCCUUUGUAAUGAAUGAGAAUUUGGUUAAAGAAAGGGUUUCAGCAGCUUUUGCUGUAAAGCUCUUUAAAUCAUGGAUAAAUGAAAAAGACAUCAAUGCAGUAGCUGCAAGUCUUCGGAAAGUCAGCACGGAUAACCGACUGAUGGAACUUUUUCCUGCCAAUAAGCAAAGCAUUGAACAUUUCACGAAAUACUUUACUGAGGCAGGCUUGAAAGAAUUUUCAGAGUAUGUUUGGAAUCAGCAGACCAUAGGAGCUGGUAAGGAGCUCCAGAAAGAACUUCAAGAACAGAUGUCCCAUGGUGAUCUAUUUAAGGAUAUAAUUUUAUAUGUCAAGGAGGAGAUGAAAAAAAUAACAUCCCAGAGUCUGUUGUUAUUGGGAUAGUGUGGUCGAGUGUGAUGAGUGGAACAAAAAAGAGGAGCCUGUAGCAGAGCAAGCCAUUAAGCACUUGAAGCAAUACAGCCCUCUACUUGCUGCCUUUACUACUCAAGCUGAAGUCCUGAGUGAAGAGCCCAUUCUGAAGUGGUAUAAAGAUGCACAUGUUGCAAAGGGGAAAAGUGUCUUCCUUGAGCAAAUGAAAAAAUUUGUAGAAUGGCUCAAAAAUGCUGAAGAAGAAUCUGAGUCUGAAGCCAAAGAAGGUGACUAA